UACGGGGGGAGCAAGCGUUGUUCGGAUUUACUGGGCGUAAAGGGCGCGUAGGCGGCCACCGCAAGUCAAUUGUGAAAUCUCCGGGCUUAACUCGGAAAGGUCAACUGAUAACUGCGGGGCUUAGAGUGGCGGGAAGGGGGCAACUGGGAAAGUUCUCGGGUUGUAGGCGGUGAAAAUGACGUAGAUAUCGAGAGGAACACCUGCGGCGAAGGCGGGUUGCUGGGCCGACACUGACGCUGAUGCGCGAAAGCCAGGGGAGCGAACGGG
rnacentral:rRNA from 1 species